UUGAUUAUUCAUGCAGAGUAAGCAGUCUGGCUUUGCAGCAGCACCACUACCAGUGCUGAAUGUUUGGAUUAAUGCCAACAAGCUACAGAAUUAGCUCAUUGUUCCGUACACUCCAACUACGGGCACUGGGGUAGACAGUAAACCAGCUUUUUUGGGAGCUUUUCAAGCGCUGACUGUACUUCAUUUUUUGGAGUGCAGUAAUCAUUGCCUUUACGGAAAAAAAAAUGCUCCCUAUUUUGGGAGCUACAUUGCAGAUCUCUAUGUAGGGUAGAAGGUGGAGCGGGGCAGAGGGCUUUGUCUUUUGUUCCCCUUUAGGAACUGGGGAGACCUGCCUGCAGUCCCGCCUCUGCCAACAAAACAUGCAGUUAGGGUGCUCCCCUGAUAUCAUCCAGGCCUGGAGUAAAUUUUAGAAUUGCAUCAGUGAAGUUUGCUGCAGAAAACUGGCUGCUGUAGCUGUAUUCUGGAAUGAAUCCUUAUGGCCUGGCAAAGUUUUGAACUGGUGUUUCCCAUGUUACCUCAAGACUGCUGAAGACCAGUGCCAAGGAUGGAAGCCUUCCUUCAGGAAUGCUUCAUGUCUCCCACCAGGAAAAAAUACUGGCUUCAAGAAGGGGAACAAUAAGAGCAAAGCCUUGGACCUGGCUCCCUCAAUGGAGCCAGAUCCAUAUUUUGCCAAUAGACGAUGGAGUCACUGUAUAUUCGAUCAUUAUUCUUCCAUGUGUGUUGACCUGCUGUCUGAGUUUUGCUGAGUUGGCACAGUUUCAGAGUUUGUUUGUGUUUUUUAAAAUUUUUAGAUAAAACAAAUUGAGGGGACUCUGAACCUGGCUGAUUUGUACCAUGGAUAAUAUUACCACAAAACAACAAAUAUCAGUCUUACUUAACUGGAAACACUAAUAAACACACACUGUGAACAACAAUGUUUACAACCAAUACAGGUGGGCCUUCAGGCCUUUUCGUACCAUGCACCGCGCUGUCUUCCAUUACUCCAUUGGAAGUGUACAACCAAAGCAUUUCCUCUUUUACAUGUAAUGUUUUCAUUAGACUACAAAGGCUGAGAGUCCCUUGCAUUUUCUUUUAUUUUUAGUGUAUUCAGCUUGUUAGUUCAUAAUGUAUGUCUAAAAUCUUCAAUUGCCUAUGUAACCUCAUAUUUUAGCCAUGUAAAUUUUAUGUAUAGAAAUACUGUAAUAGUAUGUAAUGCAUUGUUUCCUUGUGGUAAGUGAUUGAGGUGCUGCCACGGGAUAUGAGACACUGAUGAAUGGUGCUAUUUUGGAUUUUAAAUAUGCUCCUUGGCAAGGUAGCUCUGAUGGAAUUUUGUUUUUAUUUUCCCUGAUCUGAGAGGGUAUUGAUGCUUUUCUGAUUGCUUUCAUUUUUUGGACAGGAUUGACUUGUUUCUGAAUGUGCGGUGGCUUUCAUAUUGGAUCUAUUAGGCUAGGAGCAGUACCUGUUGACUAAAGAGUUGACUUGCAGCAAACUAGGUGCAUGAAAGUGCCUGAGAGAAAAAGGGACAAUUGCAGCAUUGCAACCUUACCUUUUUAAAUUACUUUCUCCCUUUAGGUACUUCUUUCAUAGUUUAAGAAAUAUUUAAAAAUGCAUCUUUAAAUACUCAGCAGCAGGUUGAGACAAUGGUUUAUUAUUUUGAACUAUAUCCUUAAAGAAUAAAACAUACUGAAUAUGACUAGAAAGCAAUCUUAAGAUAACUUCUCAAGUUCAAUAAUUUCUCAACUCGGUGGAAGUAGUGUGGUGGUUGGGGAAAUAUGUUAGUUGUAUCCAUAGAUUGUAAUAAUACCUAGAAUACAUGCAUUCUGAAGAAGAAGUACUUGCCAAUGGAAGACCCUUUCUUUGUCAGCAAAUGGAUGGUAGCAGAUGGCUUUGCCUUCAGCAGGAGAUGCAGAACCCAAAACUCUCUUUUCACUCAAGGAGUCUGUUCCAUUUUUUCCACAGUUCAAUAAGUUAGAGCCAACGUUUUUCAGAUUUAUUAGUUCUAAGAGCCAAGCAGAUGAACUCUCACUAAGUCAGCAGAGCAAAAUUUUCUGUGCCAACCUCCUUUUCAUUUUAAAUAGGCCUAUGCCAAUCUCUGAUAGGCUUUCUUUUUUGGGUGGGCAGUUAUGAUUUUAAGUGACAAGCUCGCACCUUCAUAAUUUCAGUACCAAUUAUGACCACGUUUGUCAACCUACAAGAAAAUACUUAAGAGCUGAAGAGUCAUUGCAAUUAACCAGAUAGCUCUUUGUGGAAACAAACGUGGUGUGGUGUCCACUUUAUCCCAGGUUUGUUUCAGUUUUCCAAAGAAGCUAUCCUUUAUUUUGCUGGAGAACAAAUGGUCUAAAUACACAUUGCAAACAGGGAAAAAGUGGGGAGAAAAGGAUGUUUGCUAUUUUGUGUUUGCUCCCUUUUCAACAAAACCAUAUAAUACCACCAAGUAUGAGGUGCUGCUGUGUUUGAUAUGGUCUGAAAGCCCACCUUAAGAAAUAUUUUAAUGUCUUCGUAGCUCUUCCUUCCAUGCAGGCCUUCCUGCUUGUUCUAAACUAUUCCAGUUUCUGACUGUUAAAUGCUGAUGCAUGUAUCCAUUAUUUACUGUGUUUAAAUUUAUGUUUGAUUAGAAUUUAGUUGUGCAACUGGCGAAGUAGUAUUUUAGUGGCACUUUGCAGAUGUAUAAAAAUGCUUUAUGAUAAAGUACGUUUUACUGAAAAUGUGACCUUCAACUGCUUUACUGUUGUACCCCAUAUACCCAGUGUAACACUAUUUUGUGCUAAUUUUAGUGGGAAUUCUUCAAUAAAUAUUCAAUGUGAUUCAA